CAAUAGUACAGCUGCUUUCCAGACUGCAGAGUAUUUAAGGCACUACUUGAUUCCUGUUCUUUUCAACCGCUACAGACGGAGUAACACGGCUACCCAUCUCGAUCUAUCUUCAGUGAUCUCACAGAGCUUUACGGAGCAAUUCUUGGCAGGUCUACUAGACAAGAAUCCACACUUGAAAGACUUGUGAAAGAUUUCACACCGACCACUCAUGUCAAUUGGAGGGGCGCAAGAAGGGAUUGAUGGGGCCAAGCCCCCUUUUGCACCGCCGUGGCUAUGGGCCUGAAGACGCCCCGACAAGAAGAGGAAGAGCCUGGGAAAGGAAUGGUUCCAUCGGGGCAGAGGGAUUCCUACCUGCUCUGCCCCUUUUCCUCCAAGGAGUUUGUACUACAACUAGAGAUGUGA